AGUGAACGCUGGCGGUAUGCCUAACACAUGCAAGUCGAACGGCAGCACAGGAGAGCUUGCUCUCUGGGUGGCGAGUGGCGCACGGGUGAGGAAUACAUCGGAAUCUACUUUUUCGUGGGGGAGAACGUAGGGAAACUGACGCUAAUAUCGCAUACGCCAUACGGGUGAAAGCAGGGGAUCUUGGGACCUUGCGCGAUUGAAUGAGCCGAUGUCGGAUUAGCUAGUUGGCGGGGUAAAGGCCCACCAAGGCGACGAUCCGUAGCUGGUCUGAGAGGAUGAUCAGCCACACUGGAACUGAGACACGGUCCAGACUCCUACGGGAGGCAGCAGUGGGGAAUAUUGGACAAUGGGCGCAAGCCUGAUCCAGCCAUACCGCGUGGGUGAAGAAGGCCUUCGGGUUGUAAAGCCCUUUUGUUGGGAAAGAAAUCCAGCUGGUUAAUACCCGGUUGGGAUGACGGUACCCAAAGAAUAAGCACCGGCUAACUUCGUGCCAGCCGCCGCGGUAA
rnacentral:rRNA from 1 species